UACGGAGGGUGCAAGCGUUAUCCGGAUUCACUGGGUUUAAAGGGUGCGUCGGUGGGCAGGUAAGUCAGUGGUGAAAUCUCCGGGCUUAACUCGGAAACUGCCAUUGAUACUAUCUGUCUUGAAUACCGUGGAGGUCAGCGGAAUAUGUCAUGUAGCGGUGAAAUGCUUAGAUAUGACAUAGAACACCAAUUGCGAAGGCAGCUGGCUACACGAAUAUUGACACUGAUGCACGAAAGCGUGGGGAUCAAACAGG
rnacentral:rRNA from 1 species